UGCAGAGGAUCAGUCUGUGACCUGACGGCAGUCAGAACGUUCUGAUAUUUCGAUAAAACGUGAUCUGAACAGUUUAAAUCUUCAGCCAUGAAUGAAACGCCACGAGUUAGAGCUCUGUGAACUGAAGAUGGAAAGACGGCACUCGGCGAUCCUCCUCGCAGCGGUCUGAAGCGUCCUUAUACUGACUCAAAGUUUGACACCGGACAUCUGUCUUCCUUUAAGACGAGUCACGGUUCCAAACAUGGACCGUCACAGUCCUCAACAAAGACCAACAAGAGCGGGUCGAAGCCUGGAGCCAAGACGACUAAGACAGGGAGUGGCAAGGCCUCUGACGUGUGUGCCAAAGCUCCACCAGCCAAGAAGAAGAAGAAAGCUGUGACUUCCUCCUCCCAGGACUCUUCCGUGGCCGAUCGUCUGGUUUACCUGACAGGAAUCCCAAAGGAUGCUUCAGAGCAGGAGGUUACCGACCUGGUCGGGUCCUUUGGAAAAAUCAACAAUGUGAUCCUCAUGCCCUGCUCCAAAGAAGAGAGUGAGAAGGGCGAGGGGCAGAAGGCGUGUUACAUUAUUGUUCUGAUGUAUUUUCAAUGCUUAUAAUAUCUAGAACUGUAAUGUAAAU